rnacentral:rRNA from 1 species
AACGAACGCUGGCGGCAGGCCUAACACAUGCAAGUCGAACGCCCUAGCAAUAGGGCGUGGCAGACGGGUGAGUAACACGUGGCAACCUACUCUCUAGUACGGAAUAGCCCAGUGAAACUGGGAGUAAAACCGUACACGUCCGUGAGGGGAAAGAUUGAUUGAUAUAGGACGGGGCCGAGUAGGAUGAGCAGGUUGGUGAGGUAAGGGGUCACCAAAGCGACGAUCCUAAGCUGGUCUGAGAGAACGACCAGACACACUGGGACUGGGACCCGGCCCAGAUUCCUACGGAAGGCAGCAGUGGGGAAUAUUGGACAAUGGGCGCAAGCCUGAUCCAGGCAUGCCGCGUGAGUAAUGAAGGCCUUAGGGUUGUAAAGCUCUUUUGUCGGGGACGAUAAUGACGGUACCCGAAGAAUAAGUCCCGGCUAACUUCGUGCCAGCAGCCGCCGUAA